rnacentral:lncRNA from 1 species
GCUGUUGCUGUUGCUGUUGCGCGGCGGCGGCGGCGGCCGCCGCUGCUGCCGCCGCCGCCGCCGCUUCCUUAGCCGACAGGGCCACUGUCUUGACCCCGACGGGCGGCGGCGGCCCGGGGGAGCGGCCGUCCUGGAAGCAGCCGUGCGCCCGCUUCAGCUGGCGCGCUGUCUCGAUCACGAAUUCGAUGCGAUCAGCGCCCUCGUAGUUGACGCAACCGCGGCAUACGGGUUCCGAGAAGUCCCAGAUCAUGGCCCAGGGCAUGCGGGGCAGGUCGCACAGGUAGCAAGAUUGUCUCCGGGACGAGGACACCUGCGCCGCCGACAUGAUGCCUGCCCUGGGGAAGCGUCGGCCGUUCUGCUGGCGGCGACUGGGUUUGCACCCCGGAGGGAGCCGCCGCGGCCACUGCUUCCAGGACGC